rnacentral:misc_RNA from 1 species
UGUUUCCACUGAUCUUUCAGUCGGUGCAGUCUCAUCCAGAUCUGGCCCAGUAAUGGCCGGAAGUGGGUUCUUCGAGGCCGUAAUAAGCGGGAAGGGUGGUCAUGCAGCCAUUCCCCAGCACACCAUUGAUCCUAUUUUAGCCGCCUCCAACGUGGUUGUAAGCUUGCAACAUCUAGUUUCACGUGAAGCUGAUCCCUUAGACUCACAGGUGGUAACAGUAGCAAAAUUCCAAGGAGGUGGUGCCUUUAACGUGAUUCCAGAUUCUGUUACCAUCGGUGGCACCUUCCGGGCUUUCUCGAAAGAAAGUUUCUUCCAGCUAAAAAAACGAAUCGAGGAGGUUAUCAUUGCCCAAGCUUCUGUGCAGAGGUGCACUGCGACUGUCGAUUUUCUUACAGAAGACCGCCCUUUCUUUCCUGUGACAGUAAACAACAAGGUUCUUCACGAGCAUUUUCUGAGGGUUGCUGGAGAGAUUCUCGGUGAAGGAAAUGUCAGAGAGAAGCAGCCAGUGAUGGGAGCGGAAGACUUCGCAUUUUACACUGAGGUUGUUCCUGCUGCGUAUUACUACUUCAUGGGGAUGUAUA